rnacentral:rRNA from 1 species
GACGAACGCUGGCGGCGUGCUUAACACAUGCAAGUCGAACGGAAAGGCCCUGCUUUUGUGGGGUGCUCGAGUGGCGAACGGGUGAGUAACACGUGAGUAACCUGCCCUUGACUUUGGGAUAACUUCAGGAAACUGGGGCUAAUACCGGAUAGGAGCUCCUGCUGCAUGGUGGGGGUUGGAAAGUUUCGGCGGUUGGGAAUGGACUCGCGGCUUAUCAGCUUGUUGGUGGGGUAGUGGCUGCCCAAGGCUUUGACGGGUAGCCGGCCUGAGAGGGUGACCGGCCACCUUGGGCCUGAGAUACGGCCCAGACUCCUACGGGGGGCAGCAGUGGGGAAUAUUGCACAAUGGGCGGAAGCCUGAUGCAGCAACGCCGCGUGCGGGAUGACGGCCUUCGGGUUGUAAACCGCUUUCGCCUGUGACGCAGCGUGAGUGACGGUAAUGGGUAAAGAAGCACCGGCUAACUACGUG